GGAGAGCUGACAACAGAGUACGGAACAAUAGUUGAUCAGCAUUGGUCAUUAUAGAACUCGGACGAUCACAAAAUACAAACAUGAAACUUUCUGGAUUGGUUUUAUGUUUUCUCUGUUUGUUUAUAAUUGGUUCUUCUGGCUACAGAAUUCUGCCCGGAGCCGACACAUAUGAACGAGAAGCGAGAAUGAAAACUGUUCAGGACAUUGGUGAGGCCCAGGAUGGGUUUGGGCAGUACCCCCCAGCCCGCAGUGACUUCAUGAAACAGCUCAUAAACUACCUCAACUCUGUUGGGCGCAAGUAAUCUCCCCUGACUACAACACACUACUCCAACCUUCCAAUCAAGACAGGAGGAGGGGAAAAAUGAACUCAAAACACAAUCCUUUAUGACUGGCACAAACAGACUUAUACAUAUUAGACUACCUCUACAUGAGCUCUGUUGUGCAAAAAAAGUCACCCUGAAUAGACACACCAAACUUUUAGAAUUAAGUACAAGACCAACAUUAAUCUACAUG